CUUCACACAGCCACCACCUCAUAUCUUGCGCUGCCAAGUUCGUUGCUCGCUGUCACUGCCGCCACCGAUGCCGACGAACCCCAUCACCAUUUCCCCUUCGUCUUCGAAUCUCUUCUCUCCGGCGCCAUCAAAAUCCAUCACCAGAUCCGCGGAUCCAAAGACGCAGCUCGUUUGUUGUCGGUGAUCCGCCAGAGCGGCAGGCACCUACACCUCCACUGCCAUCGUUGCCGCCGUUGUCGUUGCCUAUUGGGUAUUGGGAGAAUAAGGUUAGGAGCAAUCUGGAGUUUUUCUUAACGGCAAAGUUAAAUGGAUUCGAGAAUGCUGUAAAUAUGGCAGUACCUCCGGAGGAGGUUAAGGAGGACGCGGAGAAGAGCGAGGAGAAUGUGAAGCCAAAGUGAAAGCCUUUGCAUUGGGACAAAGUUAGGGCAAACUCUGAUUGAGCAAUGGUGUGGGAUUAGCUAAAGUCUAGUCUAGCUCCUUCUAGUUAAAUGAGGGGAUGAUUAAAUCAUUGUUUGUUUGCAAUGCUACAUAAACAACUACAAUUGUGAUGAAGGAGACGAGUAAGAGGCAGGCCCUUCCCUCACCUAAAUAGGAGAAUAGGGUCCUUGACCCGAAGAAAUCGCAGAACAUUUCCAUAUUGCUAAGGGCACUGAAUGUGAUGAAGGAGGAAGUCUGUGGAGCUCUUUUUGGAAGCUCUAGACCUGCAAAUUGUAAUUUUGGAGGCGGUGUUAUGUAGCUGGACAAGUAUGAGAUAGGAAGAAAUCAUUCUGUAAAUUCCUAGAGGCUAUUCUCAAGACAGGUUACCGAAUGAAAGUUGGAACUAAACAAGGUGAUGCGCAUGCGUUCAAACUUGACACUCUCCUCAAAUUGGUCGAUGUCAAAGGAAACCUUGGCGGUUGUUUGACCCUUUUUUUUCAUGUAAGUAAUUGUAUUACCUAAUUUUUUCAUGGAUGUAUAUAAAGAU